rnacentral:rRNA from 1 species
AGUUGAUCUGGCUCAGGAUGAACGCUAGCUACAGGCUUAACACAUGCAAGUCGAGGGGCAUCAUGGAGUUGCUUGCAAACUCUGAUGGCGACCGGCGCACGGGUGAGUAACGCGUAUCCAACCUUCCCUAUAGUAGAGGAUAGCCCGGCGAAAGUCGGAUUAAUACUCUAUGUUUUCCGUUGCAGACAUCUAAGAUGGAACAAAGGCUUGCCGCUAUAGGAUGGGGAUGCGUCUGAUUAGGUAGUCGGCGGGGUAACGGCCCACCGAGCCUUCGAUCAGUAGGGGUUCUGAGAGGAAGGUCCCCCACAUUGGAACUGAGACACGGUCCAAACUCCUACGGGAGGCAGCAGUGAGGAAUAUUGGUCAAUGGGCGCGAGCCUGAACCAGCCAAGUAGCGUGCAGGAUGACGGCCCUAUGGGUUGUAAACUGCUUUUAUGCGGGGAUAAAGUUCACUACGUGUAGUGUUUUGUAGGUACCGCAUGAAUAAGGACCGGCUAAUUCCGUGCCAGCAGCCGC